AACGAACGCUGGUGGUAUGCUUAACACAUGCAAGUCGAACGGGCAUAGCAAUAUGUCAGUGGCAAACGGGUGAGUAAUGUAUAGGAAUCUACCUAGCAGUAAGGAAUAACCCUGGGAAACCAGGGCUAAUGCUAUAUAUUACCGGUUAGCAAUAACCGGGAAAGAUUUAUCGCUGUUAGAUGAGCCUGUAUCAGAUUAGCUAGUUGGUGGGGUAAUAGCCUACCAAGGCAAUGAUCUGUAGCUGGUCUGAGAGGAUGAUCAGCCACACUGGAACUGCGACACGGUCCAGACUCCUACGGGAGGCAGCAGUGGGGAAUAUUGGACAAUGGGCGCAAGCCUGAUCCAGCAAUACCACGUGAGUGAUGAAGGCCUUCGGGUUGUAAAACUCUUUUAGUAGGGAAGAUAAUGACUGUACCUACAGAAAAAGCACCGACUAACUUCGUGCCAGCCGCCGCGGUAA
rnacentral:rRNA from 1 species